rnacentral:tRNA from 1 species
GGGUAUGUAGCUCAGCAGGUAGAGCAAUGGACUUUUAAUCCAAAGGUCUUGGGUUCGAGUCCCAAUUUUCCC